rnacentral:rRNA from 1 species
AGAGUUUGAUCCUGGCUCAGAACGACCUUUGGCAGCGUGGAUUAGGCAUGCAAGUCGAACGGUAAGCGCCCGGUAGCAAUACUGGGCGCCUAGAGUGGCGGAAGGGCGAGGAGCGCGUGAGCGACCUGCCCCCGACGCGGACAUAACAGCCCGAAAGGGCCGCUAAAAUCCGGUGGCGAGACGGGAGGGCAUCCUCCCGUCUCCAAAGGCGGCGCAAGCCGCCCGUCGAGGAGGGGCUCGCGUACCAUCAGUCUGUUGGCGGGGUAACGGCCCACCAAGGCUAUGACGGUUAGCUGGUCUGAGAGGACGACCAGCCGCAUUGGGACUGAGACACUGCCCAAACUCCUACGGGAGGCUGCAGUCGAGGAUCAUUCGCAAUGGACGAAAGUCUGACGGUGCGACGCUGCGUGGAGGAUGAAGGCCCUCGGGUUGUAAACUCCUGUCAUGAGGGAAGAGGCGGAGGGCAUUAACGGCGCCCCGAGUUGACGGUACCUCAAGAGGAAGCCACGGCUAACUCUGUGCCAGCAGCCGCGGUAAUACAGAGGUGGCGAGCGUUGUUCGGAUUUACUGGGCGUAAAGGGCGCGUAGGCGGCGCUGCAAGCAGAGUGUGAAAUCGACGGGCCCAACCCGUCAAGUGCGCUCUGAACUGCAACGCUGGAGUGAGGGAUGGGAAGUCGGAAUGCUGGGUGUAGCGGUGAAAUGCGUUGAUAUCCAGCAGAACACCGGUGGCGAAGGCGGACUUCUGGAACUCUACUGACGCUGAGGCGCGAAAGUCGGGGGAGCAAACAGGAUUAGAUACCCUGGUAGUCCCGACCCUAAACGGUGUGCACUUGGGGUUGGCGGUUUUCACCCCCGCCAGUCCCGGAGCUAACGCGUUAAGUGCACCGCCUGGGGAGUACGGCCGCAAGGCUAAAACUCAAAGAAAUUGACGGGGGCCCGCACAAGCAGAGGGGCAUGUGGCUUAAUUCGAUGCAACGCGAAGAACCUUACCUGGAUUUGACAUCGUCGGCAAGGCCCUAUGAAAGUAGGGCGGAGGUUACCCGAUAGACAGGUGCUGCAUGGCUGUCGUCAGUUCGUGCCGUGAGGUGUUUGGUUAAGGCCACCAACGAACGCAACCCCUUUGACGUGUUGCCAGCGGGUAAUGCCGGGAACUCGCGUCACACUGCUAGUUUACGCUAGAGGAAGGUGGGGAUGACGUCAAGUCAGUAUGGCCCUUACAUCCAGGGCUGCACACGUGCUACAAUGGCAUGUACAGAGGGAUGCGAAACCGCAAGGUGGAGCGAAUCCCGCAGAGCAUGCCCCAGUUCGGAUUGGGGUCUGCAACCCGACCCCAUGAAGUCGGAUUUGCUAGUAACGGCGUAUCAGCUACGACGCCGUGAAUGCGUUCCCGGGCCUUGUACACACCGCCGGUCA